GUGAAUAGUGUAUGCUACUAU
rnacentral:miRNA from 1 species